UACAGAGGUCCCAAGCGUUGUUCGGAUUCACUGGGCGUAAAGGGUGCGUAGGCGGCCAACUAAGUCAUACGUGAAAUCCCUCGGCUUAACCGGGGAACUGCGUCUGAUACUGGAUGGCUUGAGUUCGGGAGAGGGAUGCGGAAUUCCAGGUGUAGCGGUGAAAUGCGUAGAUAUCUGGAGGAACACCGGUGGCGAAGGCGGCAUCCUGGACCGAUACUGACGCUGAGGAGCGAAAGCCAGGGGAGCAAACGGG
rnacentral:rRNA from 1 species